rnacentral:rRNA from 1 species
CAGCAGCCACGGGAAUACAGAGGGUGCAAGCGUUAAUCGGAAUUACUGGGCGUAAAGCGCGCGUAGGUGGUUUGUUAAGUUGGAUGUGAAAGCCCCGGGCUCAACCUGGGAACUGCAUCCAAAACUGGCAAGCUAGAGUACGGUAGAGGGUGGUGGAAUUUCCUGUGUAGCGGUGAAAUGCGUAGAUAUAGGAAGGAACACCAGUGGCGAAGGCGACCACCUGGACUGAUACUGACACUGAGGUGCGAAAGCGUGGGGAGCAAACAGGAUUAGAUACCCGUUAGUCCCUGUCUCUUAUAAA